AGUAGGAUAAGCUAAAUUUGAAGCUGUCGGGUUCAUACCCCGAAUAUGACACUAAGGUAUCUCCUAUUA
rnacentral:tRNA from 1 species